GCUGGAAAUGUAGCUCAGUGGUAGAGCACUUGCCUAGCAUGCACGAAGCCCUGGGUUCAAUCCCCAGGACAGCA
rnacentral:tRNA from 1 species